UACGAGUGCCCCCGAGCGUUAAUCGGAAUUAUUGGGCGUAAAGGGCGCGUAGGCGGUCCUGUAAGCCCGGCGUGAAACCUGGAGCUCAACUCCGGGCCUGCGCUGGGAACUGCGGGACUAGAGUCAUGGAAGGGAAGUUGGAAUUCCAGGUGUAGGGGUGAAAUCUGUAGAUAUCUGGAAGAACACCGGUGGCGAAGGCGAACUUCUGGCCAAUGACUGACGCUGAGGCGCGAAAGUGCGGGGAGCAAAC
rnacentral:rRNA from 1 species